CGCGAGAGCAAGCUCGAUUGAUGGAUGCGUCGGAGGCCAGCGGAAUAGCAUCGAAAAGAAGCAGGUCCAUUGGAUCUUAGCCUAAGGGACCUCUGUCGCGAGGUAAGUAACUGAUUUGUUGGGGUUUUCUUUCCCUUUUUCAUGGCUGACGCUUUUGCAGCCUUGCGGCACCACCAAUUGGCCGUGAAGAAGCUGCGGAGGUGGAGCAUUCUGGAACAGCGAUGGAAUUUUGCUACUUAAAUGCAUAGCGUAGAGCUCUUUUGGAUGCAAAUCUGCUUUAUUUAUUCUUGUGCUACCUGUGUAAACCAAGACAUGAAAAUAUAUGUGAUGAACUGAUGUCUAAUUGAGGCUUUUUUUUUCUUGAUCAAGAAUCCUUUUUCAA
rnacentral:lncRNA from 1 species